GAUUUUUGAAGAUAAUGUUGAAGAUUUGAGCCAUAAUUCAACAAUUAAUUCAAAUGGUUGGGUUUUACCCGGUUUAACUCUGUUCGGAUCCUGGAUAACAUGUUUAAUUCUGUUCUGAUAUUGGAUAACAUUAAUUUUUGGAAAAGUUACCUAAAAACUAAUAAUUAAAAACGAAAAUUAAUGAUUUAAUAUAAACAAUAUCUCUAAACUAACCAUAUUUCUUAUUUACCUUAACCAAUUUCCUAAAAUAUUUCUACCUAAUUUAAACAUAAAUAUAUAAUUCUUCUUUCAUUUUUAUUUGAUCUUAUACUUUAUUUAUUUUGAAUUUAUAUAAAAUAUAUAUAGUUAAUAAAAUAUUAUAUUUUUUUCUGAAUAUGAUGUAAUUCAAAGUUUUUUAAACGGACAUAUAUUAUUCAACCUAUGAAGAAAUAAUAUGUGUACAAUGUCCCACAUCGCUUAGAAAAAUUGGACAAUGGUUCAGACCCAUAUUAUAAAAGGACCAAAAUGAUUCUGAUUACGAAUGAGCAGGAAGCUUGAUUUAUCAAGCGUCCAAAAUUAAAAUAGUUAUCUGAUUUUACUCGGAUUUAUUAUUUUAAAGAAUUGAAACUUUAAAAUGUUUCAAGAAAUUAUAAAUAUUAUAACUUUAUCAAAAGUUAAAUAUUAUAAUUUUAAAAACUUUUUAUAAAGUUUAUCUUUA
rnacentral:sRNA from 1 species